GUCGAGCGGACAGAUGGGAGCUUGCUCCCUGAUGUUAGCGGCGGACGGGUGAGUAACACGUGGGUAACCUGCCUGUAAGACUGGGAUAACUCCGGGAAACCGGGGCUAAUACCGGAUGGUUGUUUGAACCGCAUGGUUCAAACAUAAAAGGUGGCUUCGGCUACCACUUACAGAUGGACCCGCGGCGCAUUAGCUAGUUGGUGAGGUAACGGCUCACCAAGGCAACGAUGCGUACCCGACCUGAGAGGGUGAUCGGCCACACUGGGACUGAGACACGGCCCAGACUCCUACGGGAGGCAGCAGUAGGGAAUCUUCCGCAAUGGACGAAAGUCUGACGGAGCAACGCCGCGUGAGUGAUGAAGGUUUUCGGAUCGUAAAGCUCUGUUGUUAGGGAAGAACAAGUACCGUUCGAAUAGGGCGGUACCUUGACGGUACCUAACCAGAAAGCCACGGCUAACUACGUGCCAGCAGCCGCGGUAAUACGUAGGUGGCAAGCGUUGUCCGGAAUUAUUGGGCGUAAAGGGCUCGCAGGCGGUUUCUUAAUUCUGAUGUGAAAUACCCCGGCUCAACCGGGGAGGGUCAUUGGAAACUGGGGAACUUGAGUGCAGAAGAGGAG
rnacentral:rRNA from 2 species